rnacentral:rRNA from 1 species
CAUUACAGAGUUCAUGCCCUUCGGGGUAGAUCUCCCACCCGUGUCAUCACACCUUUGUUGCUUUGGCGGGCCCGCCUCGGCCACCGGCUCCGGCUGGUGAGCGCCCGCCAGAGGACCCCAAACUCUGAAAUUUAGUGUCGUCUGAGUACUAUAUAAUAGUUAAAACUUUCAACAACGGAUCUCUUGGUUCUGGCAUCGAUGAAGAACGCAGCGAAAUGCGAUAAGUAAUGUGAAUUGCAGAAUUCAGUGAAUCAUCGAAUCUUUGAACGCACAUUGCGCCCCUUGUUAUUCCGGGGAGCAUGACUGUUCGAGCGUCAUUACAACCCUCAAGCUCUGCUUGGUAUUGGGCGUCCCCGGCGACGGGGUGCCCUAAAAUCAGUGGCGGUGCCGUCUGGCUCUAAGCGUAGUAAAUCUCUCGCUCUGGAUGCCCGGUGGAUGCUCGCCAGAACCCCCCAUUUUUUACAGGUUGACCUCGGAUCAGGUAGGGAUACCCGCUGAACUUAAGCAUAUCAAUAAGCGGAGGA